GGGAAUGUGGCUUAGUGGUAGAGUGCUAGCCUAGCAUGCAAGGAGCCGUGGGUUCUAUUCCUCAAUGCCA
rfam:Dipodomys ordii contig_10929, whole genome shotgun sequence.